rnacentral:lncRNA from 1 species
GUGGGUAUUCAGGAAUGAGUAGUGGUCUCAGAGCUGGAAAGGCAGAAAGGGCCUUCCAAGUGGGGAUCCUCAUGACCAGAGAAGGUCAGCCUCUCACCAUGUGGGGUCCUGGAACUGCAGACUGGGCUAGGCUGUCGGAGGGGUGUCUGACUGCCCAACUUUCCUCUGAAGGAGCUGAGAUGUGUGUCACAGAACAGAAACCCCUGAAGACUUUCUGUGACAAAACUACUGGGGAUUAAGAGGACCCUCCUGGUAUCCUGUCUAGGACAGAGGGAGAGUUUGUGGGCUGGGAAGAGAAACUGCAGGCAGGGAGAUCCACUAAAAGGCAACUGCAAAAACUGACAGGUGCAGGGUGAGGAGUGAUAAAGGUCUGGACUGCCAGAUACAGAAAGUGGAAAUAAAAAGAAAGGAAGAGAAAACCAAGAGAGGUGGGGAGACAGAAAUGACAGGACAGGCUGACAGAUUGGGACUGGCUCCCAACUGGCUACCAAGAAAGAGGUCAGUCAGACAGAAUGAAGAGUUUGAGCUUAACCAACUGGAAGACAGACUGAUGGAAAUACAGAGGAGUCCUUGGCAUUGGAAUUACAUUUUUUAGUAAGACUGACAACACACUUUGUUUGUCAAAACCUCUAAAUAGCCAGGUGUGGUGGUGCAUGCCUAUAGCCCUCUGAGGCUGAAGCAGGAUGAUUGCUUGAGCCAGGAAUUCUGGGCUGUAGUGUGGCAUGCCAAUGGGGAGUCUGCACUAAGUUCAGCAUCAGUAUGGUGGCCUCUUGGGAGCGGGGGACCACAAGGUUGCCUAAAAAAAACGUGAAAGACCCAGGUCAGAAAUGGAGCCAGUCAAAACUCCCAUGCUGAUCAAUGAUGGGAUCACAACUGUGAAUGCCACUGUCUUCCAACCCGGGCAACAUAGUGAGACCCCCACCUCAAAAGAAAAAAAAGAAAGAGAGAGAGAAAAAAAAGGAAAGAAGGAAAGAAAGAAAAAGAAAACUACUAAAUAGAGUUCAGUCUUCCCUUCUACCUUUCUUUUUUCUCCUCUUCCCCCGCAACACUACAAAUCUGGUCCUUGUUAAAUUUCCACAAUUUAUAAACACAUGUUGGUAUUUUAGUUUUUACCACAAAUGAGAGCAUGAUAUACAUACCGUCUUGCAACUUACUUUGAUUAACAAUAUAUCAUGGAUAUCUUUCAGUGUCAUUUCAUAUGGAUCUUCCUCAGUUUUUUAAAACAGCUAUGUAGCAGCCCAUUGUAUGGCUGUACCAUCCUUUAUUUUACCAGUGCUCCAUCG